UCAAUUUUUAAAUUUUAUUCAUAAUAUAUAGAUACAGUGCUGUAAAUGCUAGGUGUUACAGGCAUUUUUCAAACAUUAACUCCUUUAGUACUCUCCAUGGCCUUACAAAGUAGGUACGCUUAUCAUUACUGUCAACUGACAGAUGAAGAAACUGAGGUACCAACAAGGUAAGUAACUUGAUCAAUACAAAUAACCAGUAAGCGAUUGAGUUGGAGUUUGAACAUAAGAUGUCGGCUCAUAUUCUAUGCUCUUAACUAUGAUAUUUAAUCUCUAAAGACUUCACAUCAUGAAAAAAUUGGAUCAAUUUAUCCAUUUUCUUGAUAUAUCCCAUAGCCACACUAUUUUGUCUGAAUAAUACCUAUAGAGAAACUAUUGUACAUACACACCCAAAUUACUUCUGCCAGCAUCCCCACUUCCUAAAAGUUAAUACAGAGAACAUUUCAAAACAUUUCUUGUCCUGGCUGGGAGGUCUCUGAGAAAAUCUCAUUGUUCAUCUAAUAAGCCAAGGGCCGGCUGGGAGUUGGGUCUCAGGGGAAAGGUGACCUCAGGAGAACCAGUGAAUUACCGAAUUGCUGGGAGGAUCUCAGCAGUAACUGAAUUCAGGAUCUGGUGGUGUUUCAACCUGGGUGCCUGGUGUAACCAGGAUUUGCAUCUGCUUCAGACAAAGCAGACAGCCCUUCCUCAUGGACUCAACUUUAUCUAAAUGUGAUCAAGACAAAAUAAAUAAUGUCAUGCACCUCUGGAUGUGAGACUGUGCUGGGAGGUUCUGAAAGGCCUCACUGAGGUGAUUAUUUGCUGUAGCCAGAAUGACAAGUGUAAGCCACCCCUGCCUAUAUCUGGGAACAGUUAGCAUGUCAGGGAGAAGGCACCCCUGGUGCAGAGAUUCACAGGAAGAAGUGAGUUUGACCAGAGGAGGUCAGAAAGGUGGCAGGUGUGGCUGGAGAGAGCCUGAUAAGAGAGAGGAGGGUGAUAGGGCCAGAUCGUGGGACAUGGUGGACUGUGUUAGUUUCUGUUCCUCUAUGACAACAUUGCUCCAAAACCUUCCACCCAUAAGGAACAAAUAGUUAACAUCCUGCACUUUCUGUGGGCCAGGGAUCAGGCAGAGCUUAGCUGGGUGCCUCAGCUUCAAAUUCUCUAUGAAGCAGGGGCUGGGGUCUCAACAGGGCUCAACUGGGGGAGGACUCCCACCCAAGAUCGCUGACAUGGGUGUUGUCAGGAUUCAUCUGGACUGAGAGUCUGAGUUCCUGCCCGUCUGUUGGCUGGGCACCCCCUCAGUUCUCUCCUAUGGAGCCUCUACACAGGGCAACUGAAAGCAUCAGUGCUUGCUCUCUCAGUUCCAGAGAUAAGACAGAGAGAGAGCUGCAAACAGGAGAGAGAGAAUGAGGGAAUCCAAGAAGGCCUGUAAGAAGGAAGUGACAGGCUCUUCGUAAUUAAAACUUGGAAGUGACAUCCCAUCACCUUGGGGGCAUUCUGUUGAUCAGAAGCCAGUUACUAACCACUUAGUUGUCACAUAAGGACGUGCACUCCAGGAGGCAGGGAGCAGUGGGAGCCAUUGUGGAGGCUGCCCCACACACAGGCCGCCAUGAGGCACUUGGGUCUGAUUCUAAGUAAAACAGGAGACCCUGGGAAACUUUUGCCAGUGGAUCACAAUAUAUGAAUUUCUUCUAAUUUCAACCCCUGAAAAGUGCAGACCUGAAAAUGAGGCCCAGGGGGCAGUGAGUGUCCCAAUCUUCCAUCUUCCAUCUCUAAGUUUCUGUAUCAGACACAUGUGACUCUAACCCACAGAAGUUAUAGGUAUUAUCACAUAUACAUCUGAUGAUGUGCCUAGGAAAUUGGUUUUAGCACCAUCUCCACUGUGCAGGUUGGGAGACUGGGGAGGCCAUGAGAGGCACAAAUGGCUUUUCCAGGACUCAGAAUUGGUAGGAAAAAACAGGUCUGAACUCAGCUGUGUCUCCUCAAAGCUAGGGCCCUGGUCCCAUUCCCAGAGUGCUGUGGGGAGGGCAGUGAUGGAUAUUUGUGUACAAUUAUGGAGAUGACAUGGGCAAGGGUGAUGAGCAGUCAACAGCCCAGAGGGGGCUAUGGGUGGGUCUUAUUGAAGGAAGGGGCCCAGAUAAUGGAACCUUGAGAAGUGACCUCACUUCUUUGGUGACAGACCCCAACAGAACUUAGAACUUUGGUUACCAGGCACCCACAUUCUAGACACAGCCUCACAUCCAGCUCACUUGAAUGGAGACACUCAAGAGAGCAGGAUGUUCUCAUGUUGUGCCCCAACUUUCCGAAGCUCUGGCUUCUAGAAAUCUGACGAGAGCCUUUUUACCCACUGUAGACAUUGACUCAACUCUCACCUCUAACACCUCUGGCCUUUUGGCAGGAGGAACCCUCAGGCAACACAGGGCAACCCAGGGCAGGCCACUCCAGGUCAGGUCACAACUGUGCUCCCACCUGGCCAGCCCCACACCCCUUGAUGCUCAAGGUGUGUGUGUGUGUUUGGGAGGUGCACUUAGGAAAGGUGGGGAUGAGGGGGGACACAUCCCGGGUAGGAGCAGGUAGUGAGAUGUUGGAAGUCUGGCAAUGGGUCAUCUUCAUACCCCACAUCUUGGCUGGCAGGGUAGGAAGUUGAGUGCCGGGGACCGAGCUCCUUUAUCCCUAUGUGAAUCCCAAGCCCACCAGGUGUCAUCACAUUCCAGCCCUGGCUGGAGGUCUAUGCAGGUGCCCCUCUGAGCCUGAUCUGUGGUGUGGGAUCCCCCUGGUGAGGUCCAGGCAGGCCCCUGAUCCCUCCUGGUCUUUCUCCCGGGCACUGUGUUUGCAGAACUGCACCCACAAGAUGGUCACAUAGUUAGUGAAUGGUUUCAACUAUGCCAUCUCCCUGGACAGGGGGCGGGUGCUCCAGGCCACCAACAAUGACCCGGGCCGGGUCUUUUCUCUGCAUUAGUGCAGAGGGGUCUUCACACCCAGGACCCUGAGAUGACCGAGGCAGUACCAGAAUCCAGACCCAAAUCUGAGACUCCCCUGAGAUGCUCCCAGUGUUUUCUCACUAGAGUGUCCCACAGUCCCACUCCCAAAGGAAUCACGACCUCCCCUCCUCCCCACCAGCUACAUAGGCAGAAAGAAAGUAACCUCCAUCCUCCUAGUGGUUCACGGUGAUGCCACUGAUUGUUUUUGUGUCCCUCCUCCUUCCACCCAGACUGAAGAUGACCCCAUUGUGAAUUAAAAUGAGGCCUGCAGGUUGCGGUCCCUCCAGCAGACCUGAUGGAGACUGACAAAGUCCAUGGCACCAGCUUUCCUAGGUAGAAACAUCUCAAAUGUCACCACCUUUGUGUUCAACUACUCGGCCUUCAACACAUCCCACCAGGUCCUGGACCAGCUGUUUACUGGGUGACUGCCCACUGCCAGCUGUAAUUCUUGUAAUGUCACUGCAUCUCCCUGAGCCUCACUUUGCUCCUCUGAAAAGCGGGGUGGGAGAGGAUAAACUUCAUGGAGUUCUUGGAGGGACUAAUGGGAUCAGCCAUGGUGGGUGCUGACCUGGUGCCUGGCUCUGCAAAUGGGGCUGUGGGGUGAGCUGUGGUUGUUCAUGGUUAGUAUUGGUUCUUCCUCAUGGAAAGUAGUCUGUCUCACCCGUCUCUGGGAUGUGGUCUUUCUGAGUUUGGCAAAGCACAUGGACACCAACAUGUCAAGGAGUUUCAGAAUCCAGAGAGAUGGUCCUGGUCCUUGUGCUUGGUGGGGCCAAUUAAGGAUGUCUGGGGAACAGAGGGGCCCCAGGCCCACUCAGACAUCUGGGAUGCUUCUGGCUGGACUUCAUUCAUUCAACCAUGUAUGAGAAGCACCUACUAAGUGCAGGAUUUUUGGAGACACUUAGCAUAACUCAGUGAAUCCAGGUGUCCAACAGAUACAACCCCUAUGUCUCAGUUGUAAUCUGAGAGUCAAACAGUCACAUUAGACAUCAUUCGCAGGUCCUGUCGUCCAUCGCACAUCCCAAAUGAUGCUCUCGUCACCACCUUUACAUCCGGAAGCAUCUUCCAUUAUCAAAACCAGGAGGGCAGACCAUAGGAUGCCGUAAUAAAAUGAGUGGCCUCUGGGUCCAGAAGGAGAGCACCCUGUCUCUACAGAACAGGGUUGGGGGAAAUGGGGGACUGUGGCUGGGGCCAGGCUGGCAAAACCCUGCAUCUCACACAUGUUUUGAUUCUCACUGGAAGGCUGAGGUCUGAUGGCUUCCAUUCCAGGAGGUCAGGAUUCAAAUACCUGUAGAUGGGUCCCAGGACCCCUGGGAACCAGAAUGGAGGCUGGGCUGGGCUGUCCCCUAGAGACCCAUCCCCACCACAGUCCUAUCUUGAUCUGCCUCCCCUUCUCCACAUCCACUUCUUCGGACCACCUCCAGCAGGCCCAGAACAGGAGGUGUGUGAGCAACAUGGUCCCACAUCUGCCUCAGUCCUCAGUCCAGUUGCACAAAUGCAUGGAGGGCUGGGGUGGGCCUUGUCCGAGCCCUUCAGGAAGAGAGUGACAGUGGGAAGAACAGACUCACAACAGACUCUGUGUUCAACUUGCUGGAUGAGCCAUCCUGCCACCACCAGGACAGCCACACAGGCGGGACUGGACUGGGGCUCUCCUCUGGAUGGGAAUGGGCGGGCACAGGGGCCCAGACCAAAUAAGGGUGCCUUCAGUGGGCAGUGUGGAGGGAAAGACCAGGCCUCUGACUCUGUUGCCCAAUGCCUUCCCCCAGUACCGUCUCUUCGCAGAUGAAGCUGGCCCGUGUGCACAUGAGCUCGCCUACCUCAGAGUGGGAGGGCCACGCCUCCCUCCUCCCAGUCCAGCUGGAGCCUCCAGAGCCCGUGGAGGCAGAGCUGGAAGGACCAUCUCCAGAGCUCCCACCAGCUCCAGAGCCAGAGCAAGGACCAGCUCCAUGACCCGGGCCAGCUCCAAUUCUAGUUCUACCACCUGUGCUAGAGCUGGAGCAAGUCUCACCUCCAUCAGUCCCCCCAGGGCCAGAGCCAUGCCAACAACAGCUCCAGCCCCAGGGCCAGAUCCAGCUGGAGCCCGCUGGACCCUUAUCUCCAGGGAGAACACUUCCUCCAUCUGGAGAGAUUACAUCAUAGCUGAUCCAGCCGCAGAGCCCACCUGCCCCCAGGCUGUGACCACCAAGAGCCUGCUGUGGGAGCAGAAGCCUGACUUCCUGGAGUUCCCUCCCCAGCUGAUUGCAGAGCAAUUUACACUGAUGGAUGCGGUGAGCAGCAGGGCUCUCAGGGCAGGUGGGGCCGGCCUUCCCUGUGCCAUCAGAGGCCCAAGACCUGCUGUUUCCUGAUCCAGAAUCCCAUGUCCUACAUCCAAUCCCAGCUUUCCCACUUACACACAUGUGCCCUGGGCAACCUCUUAACUCCCAAGCCUGUGCUGUCCGCAUGUGGACACUAGACAUGGACAAAAGAGCAUCUGCCAGGCAUAGCGGCUGUGCAGACGAAUGAGGCGGAACAGAGAGGAAGGUGGGCAGAGUCUGGCCCUUUGGCAGGGGAGGGGAGGUCACUGAAGGGCUGUCAGGUCCUUGGGUGGGUCAUCCAUUUGCACAGGAGGCAUCAACAGCCUUAGCAAUUAUUAGGCACCUCAUAAGUACAUGACUACCUGGGAGACAAACAUACAAAGAUUGUGAUUGUCACUCCUGGGGAGGACUGCACAUCUGAACGAGGAGUCUGGCCCCAGGGUGAUCAGAAAAGGUGGGCGAUCGUCAAGUAUCAGCGGGGUUCUGGUGCCUGUAGUAGUGAGACUGGGCUGGGAGCGAAUGCCACUUUCCUUCCCCGCACUAUUGCUCCUGGGUCAUCCUGUGCUGGGUGCCCUCAGUGGGCAUAGACAAAACCCAGGGACCCCCACAAGCCCCAGGCCACAUCCUCAGCUUCCUGAGCUCCAGCUCUGACCACUGACUCUGCCUGGGACUGUGGACUGUGGACAUGGAGCAGGCAUGUGACAGGGCUGGGUGACACUCUCUUCCUCCCCAGGAGCUGUUCAAGAAAGUGAUCCCCCCCACUGUCUAGACUCCAUCUGGUCCCCAUGGGACAGCAGGGGCAAUGAGCACCUGGCAUGCACCAUCCGUGCCACCAUCACCCAGUUUAUCACAGUGGUCAACUGUGUUGUCACCACCUGCCUGGGGGACCUGAGCAUGACAGCCCAGGACAGGGCCAGGGUGGUGGAGCUCUGGAUCCACGUGUCCAAGGUACCUUCUGGGCGGCCCAGGAAGCCCCUCUCUGGAGUCAUGGAAACUGCCCCUUCUCCUUCCUCAGCUCUCAGGAUUGAAGUCUGUGCUCUGAGCCCUUGCACAGUCCCCAGGCCCCUCCUGCCGGGGCCUCACUGACCUUGACUCCUGGUGCCAGCGUGGGAACCUCACUUCUUCCUGGGCUCCUUCCUUGGGUUGAGCUCAAAUUCUCCAACCUGGGAAUGCUACUCAUCAGGUCCCAGGGGUGCCCUCACUGGGUUCCUCAGCAUGUGUCUCAUCCAAGACAGGAGAUGUCCAUGAGGGGACUAAAGGCAGAGGCAGUAGGGCUCCAGCUCUCCUCACCAGCUCACUCUCUUCCCUUCCCCAGGAGUGCCAAGGCCUGAGGAACUUCCCUCCACUGCACGCCAUCCUCUCUGCUCUGCAGAGCUGCACGAUCCAUAGGCUCAAAAAGACAUGGGGACACGUUUCCAGGUGGGUAGGCCUCUCUUCAUGUGAGCAUCACCUGGGAAGACCAGACACCCCCCAUAGUGCUGGCAUUGCCCCCUGAGUAAGCUGGCACCACCUGGGAGACAGCAAACCCUGGUGACAGAGACUCACCUGGCUGGCGGACUCUGAGUCUCUCUGGAAACUUAGGCCGGGGGCUUCUGCUUCAGGAAUCAGUGUCCCUGAAUGUCAGGUCCUGGGUUGAGGCAAAUUGAAGAUUUUCAAGUAUUUGCUUUGCAGCAACAGAACUCUCCGUCCAGCUGAAACCACGAUGUUUGAAAACACACCUGCUCAGGAGUUACAGGAAUGGAGGCCCAGGUGACACCGGGAGAGCCCCCUCCCCAGUCCUGUGGAGACCCCAGGGCUCAGAGGACCCAGGGAAAACGCUUAUCCAGGAUGUUUGGAUAUUCUGGGUUUUCAAAAACAAGGAUUUACCCUUAAACCACUGCACAGGUUUUCAUUCCUUUUCCCCCCUCGGGAAGAGCUCUCAAAAAUUUUACAGAAUUGUGCACCAAGGACCAGCAGGUGAGCAGGAAGCUGCUCAUGGAGGUGAGUGGAGGCUGCAGAUCUGGAAGGAGGGGAGGGGUGAGGGGAGGAGGGAGCAGGCAGGAUGUGCUUUGCUGGGUUUUUCCCUUAAAGUUUCUCUGAGGAAUAACCAUCUAUAUUGUUCUGAUUGACAGGAAGAGAGGUGUUAGCUGCGUGGAUGGGUGGGGGCAGUUAGGGACAGGAGGCCUUGGUCAUGGGGCCCAGAGGUGUUGGCUGGACUGUCCAGGAGGGAGAGGAGCCAGCAGGAUGAGCAGGUCUCUGGCUCCCAUGUGGGUCCAUCAGCCGGCACUUGACUCUCUCCAGGCUGUGGGUGGAUGGAGGGGGUGGGGAUUCUUUUCUUCCUAAAGCAGCCCUGUCUGUCCUCAGGAAGCCAGGCCCCUGAUGCUCCUUCUGUCUUUGCUGCACGUCCAAGGACAGGGCACCCUGCCUGCCCCAGGGAUGGGCACUGCGUGGUCCCAUGGGCCAGGUGGACAUGGGCACUGCCCAGCAUGGGAUGAAUGGUGGACCUGGGACAGAACUGUGUGCUCUCUGGGACUCCCCACUGUGCCCUGAUAGUGGUCACUGCUGACAUACCCAGUGGGGUUCUCACUUGGUGCCUUGUUGGCAGGGCACAUGCCCCAGAUGGCAAUGAGAGUAUCGGGGGAUCCAGUAGAUUCUUCGUGGACCUUCCUGACUGGAUGUUAGAAGUUUCCAAGAACAAAAGGAAGCAAAUGUCACCAUCAACCAGUGCCCUGGUCACCCUGUAACUGUCACUCAGAUGUGGCACUAGGGGUCACCUUCCUGAGUGGAUGAAAAGAGAGUUCUGUUCAGGGGAACAUCCUGAGGGAUCCUAGGGAGCUGAGGCCUUUGGCAUGGCCUCAGGUAUAGCCUGGGGUCAGAGAAUCCCAGGGGGCUGGGACAGGUAGAUGCCACUUGGACAGGCUCUCUGAGACACCCUGCCCCUUGUCAUCCAUGGCUCAGCCUGGCUGAGGGUCUGCUCACACCCCGAGAGUCCAGAGGACAUGACCUUGUUCAGAGGUGUGUCUGUAGGUGGGGUGAAGGCAGAUGGACAGGGCCUCUGGCUGGGAGGGGAAGGGGUCUCUCCUCUGUGGGCCUCUGAGCAAGUCAAGCCCCUCUGUGAGCCUCGGUCUCCUCAUGUGGGACGUGGAGGGAGGUGAUCUGUGGUACAAGCCCCACAAACGGGGGAUGAGGUUCAAGGGAGGAGAGGAAUGUGCAGGAGCUGUGUGCCGCCUCCUCCUCGAGGGGUGAGGAGGAGG
ensembl:lncRNA